UUAUCGGCUCUGGGUCAAUCCGUGAAAAAACAAAACACCCUUAAUUUUCUCGGGAAACUGAAAGCAUCGAUUCCGUUUUCUUCUUUCCAAUCGGCAUUUGAAUUAGGUUUUAUUUCAGUUCAACCAAAUACGAAUUCGAAGACGAAGCCUUUGGUCAAUUGCUAAACCCUAAUUCCUUAGUUUGAAUUCCUGACGACUUUCGUGCUUUCACGGAUUCCAAAAUUAACUUUAUUGGAUUUGGAUCAGCGAGAGAUAAUGCUGUACUCACAUACUUGUUACUAAUUAAUGGAUCCUGAUAACAAGAGAUUUGGAAGAGGGCCCAGAGAACUUACAGGUGCUGUGGAUCUUAUUAGUCACUUCAAAUUGUUGCCUCAUCAAGAGUUCUUCUGCAAGAGGUCACUUCCAUUGUCUAUUUCAGAUACCCAUUAUCUUCACAAUGUGGUGGGUGACACAGAAAUUAGGAAAGGGGAAGGGAUGCAAUUGGAUCAGCUUAUACAGGAUACUUCCUUGUCAAGAGAGACGAGUUCCUGCAUCCAGCCAUUUGACCUAGACGUUCUUGGUGAAGCUUUUCGACUACGUGAAGCGGCUCCAGUGGAUCUGCCUCCUUCUGAGAAAGGCAUCCCUACUGUAGCUGGAAAAUCCAAAAGUGAGUCGAAAGACAAGGAGAAGAAGCAUAAAAAGCACAAAGAUAAGGACAAGGAGAAGGACAAAGAGCAUAAGAAGCACAAACAUCGUCAUAAAGAUCGAAGUAAAGACAAGGAUAAAGACAAAAAGAGAGACAAAAGUGUUCAUCAUGAUUCUGGUGCUGAUCUUUCGAAGAAACAUCACGAGAAGGGUGAAAACGUCAAGGAAAUAAAAGUUUACCUUUCUUGAAAAAUGCGACCUGGACCCUGUGAAAUGCUCUGUUGCUUGACUCUUUAGUUAAUCAGGCAAAAGGUUGAGUUUACUCCAUGUUUAGCUUAUUAAGAAAAGGAAGCAUGAUGGAGAGGAGGAAUUUAAUGAUGUUCACAAACACAAGAGAAGCAAGCACAAGAGCUCAAAGAUUGAUGAUAUUGGUGCAAUAAAGGUAGCAAGCUGAAAUAUGUGUGUGGUUAUAUCAUUUGUUUUAUCCUCAGACUUUGCAAUUGAGAAUUUGGAGGGAUCCUUUACUUAGUAUUGUGGAAAAUCAGAGGUACAGAAGUUAAUUCAUGUUAUAUCGCAUUAAUUGAAUGCUAUAUCCCAUUAAUUGAAGAACUUAGUGGCUUGCCCUGUUGCUUUAAUCUUAUAUUUUUUACACUGGUAAGAUUGAUCCAUUGAGUUUACAGUUCAGUCAGAUCGCACCACGUUUUGUGCUUAUGUGAUUUUGCUUUGUAUAAUGCAACUUUCUUUUUCGUUUCUGAAAUCACCUAGUCAACUAACAAACACAUUAACCAUCUUGUCUGUGUUAAAGGAGCAGCAUAUGAAGAAUCAGGUAUACUUUUUGUGCUUCCAUUAGGCAUCUAAAUUAGUAUUUCUCCUCCUUAAAAGCCAGAUAAAUUUAUCUUUAGUAUUUAUAUCUAGAUACAUGUUCCUUCUUUAAAAUGCUAAGUAGUAUAUCAUCUCAAUAGAUAAUAAAAUCAUCAAUAGGUUAAAAUAUGGUUGUGGUAAGAGAAAUAUUUGACAAGUCGUGGCAAAACUCAACAUGCAUAUUAUCCCAAUGCCUGACUCUGUACUCAGCUAAGGUGUAAAAUAAUCAUAUUUGUCUACCUUGCCGUACAUGUAAACUGGAGGAUAAAAGGUUAAAGUUGCCAAAGGAUUGAAACCAGGGGCGGCUCUACAGCUUUGCAAAAAAAGCAUUCGCCUUAGGCCCCCAAAUUUGAGGGGCCUCAUUUUUUUUUAAAAAUAAUAGGUUAUAAGUAUUUUUUUAAAAAAUAAUAUCGAGUAUUAUUUGUAGAAAAUAUUUUUUUUUAUAUAGAACAGUCAAGAAGUGAUAGAAGUUUGACAAAUUAUGAAUACUAUGUCUCAAGAAAGAUUAAAUUAUUGACUAUAAUAAACUUUAUAAAAAUAUAUAUUCAAAUUUAAGGCCUCCAUUUGAAUUCGGUUAGGCCAUCGAUUUACUAGAGCCACUCCUGGUUGAAACUAAGCAAUCAAUUCGGUGUGAUCCCUUAGCCCUUGGUUUCCAAUUAUUAUAGAAUAUUCUAUCAUAUAAGGGUUAAAUAUACAUAAGAUUCUUAGAUGUGUCACUAAAAACUUUGAUCCACAGAGGAUGUUCAUGACCGUGUAAAAUGGAGUAUAUCAACUGAUCAAGCAUCUAAGUAUUUGUAUUUUAUCCAACUUAGAUAAUGCUUAGGCAGAAUGACUCUGUAAAUUUGCAGUAUGAUAUUUGUUCUUUUGGACAUAAUUGUAGGUGGGUGAGAAAGUGGAAACUGGAUGCUUGUGAAGGAAUUGCAUGAGCAGAUUGCUAACUUUUUUGCUCAAGCACCCUUCUCUUAAUUUUUUAUUAAUUAUGUAGAGGGAAAGGGGAUUACAAGGUGGGGAAUCGAACUCCCACCAACAAGGCGGAAGUUUAAGUAGCCAACCAACAGGGGCGAUGAUGGGCUCACGUACCUGGGUGCAUAAAAAUAUCAAUUUGAAUGUCCAAAUUCAUUGGUAAAUCUGUUCACUUUUUGGUUGUUGAGUUGCCAUUUAAAAUAAAUACUGAUGUAAGCCUUGACUAAAAAAAACUGAUGUAAACAGAUUCAUCUUUAUUACGAAGUUUCUAGUUUCACUUAAUUGAAGUAUAUAAUGGUCUGACCUAUUUUUCCUUA